CCUACUCUAGGGAGUGGAAGGUCAGGUCUCAUGUGAAAAGGAAGGUAAUCUGGACCAGUCAUAAAAUGUUAUGCUGAAAGCCUUAGGAUAAGUAGAUCACUCCUAAUACCUCUUUUCCUCUCCUAAUCUCUCUUGCAGUAACCUUAGCCAGUACUUGUCUGAGUUACUGAGUUUUAAGCCAGAUGUUAAUUCUACAUUUAGAGUAAAUGUUAUCUGAGAAGAAAUUCUUGCAGCUAGCAGCCAUGAGCUUGUGGGAGGAAACGGAGCUGGUGUUUACUGUCUGUUUUCUUUUUCCUUGCUUGAAGACAAAGGACAGAAAGUGCUACCAUCACUCAUAAGUAACGCUGCAUUUCAGAAAUAUCCUGUGGAAAUCUUAUCAUCAUCCAGACCAACAAUACUGCAGCCCAAGAAGAAGUGGUACUGAUGUGAUGUGGUGGUACAGAAUUGGAACACAAGGAAGAUAGAUGAGCAAGAUCAGUUUACUGCAUUUCUCCAGUCCCUCCCAAAGACCCAUAACAUACGCCAUCAGAAGGAUAAGAGAUGCCUUUAGAGAAAACAAGAACAUUGCGGAUUCUGAAAAAAUAGAAGAACUACUGAAUAAAGCCAAAGCAAACCUCCAGAUUAUUCAACGGCAGGUAUGUUUUUCUCAUUUUUAUAGGAGUUGUCCAUUGCUUAUUUAAGUGCUUUAUGCCACCAGAGAUGGAAAAAAAAAAAGAUCCUUGCUUAAAACAUAUCUAGGUGAAUAUCAGUUUUUGUCUGACUUUAUUUGUCCUUCCAUCAUAGGUUCAGAAGGGUGACACUGACACUCACUCUAAAUAACCUCACUUUCUUCAGUGUUCAUUUUUCCCCAUCUCCAGACACAGUGUUGGAAUAGUAACAGAACAAGAAAAUCCUGAAGUGAAUUAAGUAAAUGCUGGCUAAAUGGCAAUAGGUUUUUCUUUGGAAAAUUUACAUCACUGGCAAUAUUUUCCUUCAACCUUGUCUAAGUAGCAUUUAUAGCAUCUCUGUUCCUUCCAAGAGGUACCAUGUUACUAAGAAAUGAAGUAGACUUGGUUGAACUUGAGAUACUUUUUAAUUUCUCAUUUAUAGCUGCUGUGUAUUUAAAGUGACCGCUAAAAAUUGGAAAAAAAGCAGGUUUCUAUGCCUGAACUCUCUAUGGGCACUUGCAGUGCUUAAGCUGCUCCUCCUUGCAAAAUCUGCACUUGCUGACACCAGUCAGAGCUCAGUAGUACUUUUAUUAAACACUGAACAACUAUGUGCACCUGCUCCUCAAUGGUUUAGUAAGGCUCUUUAAACAACCAGCAGGUUAGUUAGAUGGAUUCUUAUUUUAGUAGGGUGCUGGGCCCUUUGAUUUGACAAUUAAGUAUGGAUACUUAGGUGCAAGUUAAUUUUUUUUUAUUUUCUUCUCCCAGGAUCAGGUGUUGUUUUGUGCCACCAUAGUUUUGAUAUCUUUUUUUUAACCCAAACACUGCUAUUUUUUUUUUUUUAAGUAUUUCUCAAAGAAGCAAUUUGGAUUGGAUUCUUCCAAUGCAAUUAUAUUUGAAUGCUGGGGUGUUUUUUCUCAGAUCUGUAGGUGAUAAUUGACAUUUUCAGCUCUUCUAAUUCUUGCUUAAGGUAAAGUCUUGCUAAAUAAAAACUUUUCAGCUCUUUUUCUCA
rnacentral:lncRNA from 1 species